rnacentral:rRNA from 1 species
GAUGAACGCUAGCUACAGGCCUAACACAUGCAAGUCGAGGGGCAGCGGGAAGGAAGCUUGCUUUCUUCGCCGGCGACCGGCGCACGGGUGCGUAACGCGUAUCGAACCUACCCUUUACUCGGGAACAGCCUUGCGAAAGCAAGAUUAAUGCCCGAUGUUCCGCGUUUGCUGCAUGGCAAAUUCGGCAAAGAUUUAUUGGUAAAGGAUGGCGAUGCGUCCCAUUAGUUAGUUGGCGGGGUAACGGCCCACCAAGACGACGAUGGGUAGGGGUUCUGAGAGGAAGGUCCCCCCACAUUGGAACUGAGACACGGUCCAAACUCCUACGGGAGGCAGCAGUGAGGAAUAUUGGUCAAUGGGCGGAAGCCUGAACCAGCCAAGUAGCGUGCAGGAAGACGGCCCUAUGGGUUGUAAACUGCUUUUAUAAGGGAAUAAAGUGAGUCUCGUGAGACUUUUUGCAUGUACCUUAUGAAUAAGGACCGGCUAAUUCCGUG